rnacentral:rRNA from 1 species
CUUAGUGGCGGACGGGUGAGUAUCGCGUAGGGAUUUGUCGUUGGGUGGGGGAUAGCCUUGGGAAACCGGGGGUAAUACCGCAUGACGCCUGUGGGCCAAAGCCUGUGAGGGUGCCUGGCGAGGAGCCUGCGUCCGAUUAGCUAGUUGGUUGGGUAAUGGCUGACCAAGGCUGUGAUCGGUAGCUGGUCUGAGAGGAUGAUCAGCCACACUGGGACUGAGACACGGCCCAGACUCCUACGGGAGGCAGCAGUGGGGAAUAUUGGACAAUGGGCGCAAGCCUGAUCCAGCAAUGCCGCGUGGAUGAAGAAGGUUUUCGGAUUGUAAAGUCCUUUCGGCGGGGACGAUGAUGACGGUACCCGCAGAAGAAGCCCCGGCUAACUUCGUGCCAGCAGCCGCGGUAAUACGAAGGGGGCUAGCGUUGCUCGGAAUGACUGGGCGUAAAGGGCGCGUAGGCGG